rnacentral:rRNA from 1 species
GUAGGGGGCGAGCGUUAUCCGGAUUUAUUGGGCGUAAAGAGUUCGUAGGCGGUUUGUUAAGUCUAAAAUUCAAGCCCGAGGCUUAACCUCGGUUCGUUUUAGAAACUGGCAAACUUGAGUGUGGUAGAGGCAAGUGGAAUUUCUAGUGUAGCGGUUAAAUGCGUAGAUAUUAGAAGGAACACCAGUGGCGAAGGCGGCUUGCUGGGCCAUUACUGACGCUGAGGAACGAAAGCGUGGGGAGCAAA